GACAGGAAGAAAGAGAUGAAGAAGGAGAAAGGAGAUGAAGCAGCUGAGAUAAAAACGAGGUGGCUGACAGGCUGGUGCCCACGGAGCAGGGCACCAGAGCCUCGCGUCUGAAGAUGCACCAGCUAGAGCUGGGAAAAUUCCCUGGCUUUGAAGACCAGGCCUUCCUGGAGACAAACAGCUCUAAUCCACACUCCUGAGUAAUUCUCUCUUUGGCAGCACAUCAUACCAGCAUCGAUUUAAACCUCGGGGCAGCUGCACUGGCUUUAAUCUGGGUUUUAUUUUUGUAAACUCCAGUUUCAAGGAGCUGCUCACAGAGCAGAGCGGGGCUGGGUGGCAGGAGCAGAGCCAGAAUCACUCAGGGCUGCGCUGGAAACACUUGAGCUUCUUCAAGAACAGCGACCAAAUGUGAAAAGCUUUGAUCCUAAAAAGCAAAAUCAAAGCCAGACUCAGCCUCAAAUGAUUAAAGGUUAACUAAGACUUCAAACAAUCUCACGCGAUGGGUCGUUCUCCCAAGAAUGAUGGGACAUAAACUGGGCUUGGGUUUAAUAUCUGCCUUUAAUUAGGGCUGUGUCAGAGGGCCACGAGCAGGAAAAGAGGCUCUGGCACAGAUGGGAGAUUCUGCUCUGGAAAUUCUUCAGAAAGAAAAACAUCACUGCACCUGUUCGGGGCAAAAUCCUGCCCGGGGGAAAGCGUCCUGGGUUUGGGGUGAAGUGGAAUUGGAGCUGCUUUAAAACAAGACUCCACUGAAAUACGCUGCGGUUUUGUUCUCUGGAAAACAAGGUCCAUUCUCCUCCAGGAACUGGCCUCUGGGAAGUAGGAGCAGGGCACAGAGGGGCACAAACCCCGCGCUGGCACCCAGCAGCUGCUCCAGGCACCAGCUCCUCUCGCUCCUCCCCGGCCCUCGCUGCAGCCCAGGCCCAGCAGCAUUUUAAUUAAAAGAGGUGGCUCUGUGCACCUUUUUCCUAUUGAUCUGCAGUCAACAAGAGCCCAUAAACCAAGAAAUUAAAGCCAUAAUUUACAGCCCUUGGCCGGGCUGCCUGCGAGCUCUGGUUGCCACAUUGUACACGAUGGUUUCCUGCCUCUGCCAGGACAUCAGCUCCAUCCAACAGCUCCGAAAAGGAAAAAUCCCUGCCCCUGACCCCCCCAGCCUCGCAAGGCUUCCUCCAGGAGCCAGCUCCGGGGAUGGUUUUCAGCUCCCCGUGUGUGAUGUGGGGCCAAGCCGUGGUUCCAAUCAGAGCAGAGCUGCAGAUGAAAGGCCGGCCCGUGGUCCUGCGGCCCGAGCCAGGUGUGCAGCUGGCACCCGCAGCCUCCCGGGGCACGGCUCCAGCGCAGACAUGUUAAAGCAAUAAAAGGAAAACGAGGAACAUGUGCCUGAAAACAGCGCCUCGUUUCACUGAUUCCUAUAAAUGAGUUUUCCCAGGGCAAGGUUCGGGGUUUCUGUAACGCGAGCGUGACAGCGAUUCCGGCGCUCCAUCCCUGCGAGAGGCUGGGAACAGGAGCAGCUCUCUCCAAGCAGCCUCGCAUUUACAGCGGUGAGGGCUCAAAGAGCUGCCUUAGACCUUCAAAUGACAGCAAUUCCUCCGAGGCGAGGUGCCAGAGCUGAGCAAACAAUUUGUAGGGAGCGUUGAGUGCAGGGGGAGGCGCGGGGCUGGUAAUGAGGCCGUGGUGGAGUUUCCA